UGAAAGGAUGGACCAUGUAGAGACUGCC
rnacentral:piRNA from 1 species